GUCCAGACUCCUACGGGAGGCAGCAGUGAGGAAUAUUGGUCAAUGGGCGAGAGCCUGAGCCAGCCAAGUCGCGUGAGGGAAGACGGUCCUAUGGAUUGUAAACCUCUUUUGCCGGGGAGCAAAAAGCGGUACGUGUACCGCAUCGAGAGUACCCGGAGAAAAAGCAUCGGCUAACUCCGUGCCAGCAGCCGCGGUAAUACGGAGGAUGCGAGCGUUAUCCGGAUUUAUUGGGUUUAAAGGGUGCGUAGGCGGGCAUUUAAGCCGGCGGUCAAAUGUCGGGGCUCAACCCCGGCCUGCCGUCGGAACUGGGUGCCUUGAGUGGGCGAGAAGUAUGCGGAAUGCGUGGUGUAGCGGUGAAAUGCAUAGAUAUCACGCAGAACCCCGAUUGCGAAGGCAGCAUACCGGCGCCCUACUGACGCUGAGGCACGAAAGUGCGGGUAUCGAACAGGAUUAGAUACCCUGGUA
rnacentral:rRNA from 1 species